rnacentral:rRNA from 1 species
ACGCACGCUGGCGGCGUGCUUCACACAUGCAAGUCGCACGGAAAGGCCCUGCUUUUGUGGGGUGCUCGAGUGGCGAACGGGUGAGUAACACGUGAGUAACCUGCCCUUGACCUUGGGAUAACUUCAGGAAACUGGGGCUAAUACCGGAUAGGAGCUCCUGCUGCAUGGUGGGGGUUGGAAAGUUUCGGCGGUUGGGGAUGGACUCGCGGCUUAUCAGCUUGUUGGUGGGGUAGUGGCUUACCAAGGCUUUGACGGGUAGCCGGCCUGAGAGGGUGACCGGCCACAUUGGGACUGAGAUACGGCCCAGACUCCUACGGGAGGCAGCAGUGGGGAAUAUUGCACAAUGGGCGGAAGCCUGAUGCAGCAACGCCGCGUGCGGGAUGACGGCCUUCGGGUUGUAAACCGCUUUCGCCUGUGACGAAGCGUGAGUGACGGUAAUGGGUAAAGAAGCACCAGCUAACUACGUG